rnacentral:lncRNA from 1 species
CAUGGUUCUGGGCAUUGGUGGUGGUAGGUGAUACCAAAACCAGCUCCUGGACCAUGUUAGCCACAGAAACUACACAGCCUUCCAUCACCAGAGCACAGUUAGUGUAACUAUGCCCUGAGCACACACAAGGCCAUAUCUCACCAGGCCCAACUCAAAGCUUACGCAGAGCAGCAAGGAUAAAAAGUUUAAACAAGUUUCAUACUUCAUUUUUUCCCUGCUGAUACCAGCCAAGAUCAGGUCAUUGCCAUAACAAUAGUUUUCUCAGGGUCUACAGAUGCUUUUGCAGACUCUCAGCCUCUGCUCCAGACAGCACGAGCCCCUGUGGUCACAGCCACACGAGUAGAGGCUUGAGAUGAUGCUGCCUGGGAGCUGAGUACACAUGAGGACAAGGAGAGAUCACCUGUAAAAGGUGAGGGAAACUGGAGGGGAGAAAGAACGCUAAAUGAAGGGGAUCCCAGUUCACCAAAUCCAGUCCUCAAAGCAUGCUCUUUACCUUUCUCAGGAACGGAAGGUUGUAACUGGCCUCAGCAUUAUGGCUGGUCACAAACCGGAUCUUCGAGAAAAUCAAAAGAAGCUGAAAACUCCAGUUCCCCGAGCAGUUCUUCUGAGGGAGGAGAAGAAUGAAGCAGAACGGAUACAGAAAGGUGGUGAUGGGAGCGUGGCUGCCAUCAGCUGUGAAGCUCUGCAGCUAUGAAAUGCCAGCCUGAGCAUGCAAAGCACUGCAAGCUGCCAUUGUUCAUCCCCUGGGGAAAGGGGACAGCACUGCAGAUGGCAAGAAGCACCCACACAGCUGAAGGUGCUCUUAGGACCACCUCAUAUGGAUUCACAUACACCCAACGCCCAGAAGCACCAGGCCUCCCCCCAGGCAGAGCAUGGGAUCCCACACACAGCCAGUUCCAGUAGCUGGGAGGGUCUGGUGAGGACACAGCCCACAGACCCCACAACUUGCCUGUGACUGAGCAGGGACCAGCAAAUCCAUCAGCAAGAGACUGAUAGUUCCACAGCUGCAGCUGGAGGCAUCUGGAGGGGUGCUCACCUUGCCCUCGGAGCCAUACGUGUAUCUCCGUAGGUGAGAAGACGGCUGUUGAGGGCCUUAAGACAUGGAGCACGGUACGUACAAUACAGCCUCUGUUCAAAGUAAGCAGCAACAGAAUCGAAACCACUUCAUUUCAAGGGUGCAUUCAGGCCUUGAGCUGCAGUUGGCAUCGAGACAAUUCUCCAAAGUGGCAAAAGUGCUCCUGUUGAGGGAGCAAGUCCUGCCCAGCUCCCUCGGAUACAGCAGCAUGCAGCUGUUUCAAGG